GGGGCAGUAGCUCAGUUGGGAGAGCACCAGCUUCGCAAGUUGGGGGUCGGCGGUUCGAUCCCGCUCUGCUCCACCA
rnacentral:tRNA from 2 species